rnacentral:rRNA from 1 species
GAUGAACGCUAGCGGCAGGCUUAACACAUGCAAGUCGAGGGGCAGCACAGAUAGCAAUAUUGGGUGGCGACCGGCAAACGGGUGCGGAACACGUACGCAAUCUACCUUUAUCUGGGGCAUAGCCCGAAGAAAUUCGGAUUAACUCCCCAUAGUAUAUUUGAGUGGCAUCACUUAGAUAUUAAAACUCCGGUGGAUAAAGAUGAGCGUGCGUCCCAUUAGCUAGUUGGUAGGGUAACGGCCUACCAAGGCGACGAUGGGUAGCUGGUGUGAGAGCACGACCAGCCACACGGGCACUGAGACACGGGCCCGACUCCUACGGGAGGCAGCAGUGAGGAAUAUUGGUCAAUGGACGCAAGUCUGAACCAGCCAUGCCGCGUGAAGGAUGAAGGCCUUCUGGGUUGUAAACUUCUUUUAUCUGGGAAGAAACCCCUGAUUUCUAUUAGGGCCGACGGUACCAGAGGAAUAAGCACCGGCUAACUCCGUGCCAGCAGCCGCGGU